AUGCCUGGACUCAUCUCUUUCUUCCUCCGCCUCAUCCGUGAGGACGGCCGCCGUCGCCGUUUCACAGCCCGUGGCCAUUAUGGAGUAGGCGGGCGCCGUCGCCGCCGAUUCGGACGCCGUGGCGCUGGACAAGGCCACCAUGCCGCUAUACGCGGCCCUCGACGUGGCCUCCGCGCCCCCAGACACGGCCAUCGCGCCGCUGCUCCCGGUGACCACGCCCCAACGGUGGCCAGCCCCAGCGCGCCUCCCGCACAUGCAGGAGAAGAGAUCCCCGGGCCCAUGCUCGCGGCUCCAACGUGGAUUCCGCCUCCGCCUCCAGCGCCGACUGACGAGCCCGGCUUCUUCGUCUUUGUGCCGUUCCCGAACGGCGCCGGAGGGACGAUCCAAGCCGCUGGCCCGACGCCGGUCGCGCAGCCUGAAGACGUGGACGCCGGCCCGAGUCGCAGCGCCACCGAGCACCCGCACGCCUCCACCUCCGUGCUGGACGAGGCACCGUCAUCCCCGCGCGCGGUCGCCCGACCGCGCCUCCAGGACUCCGCAAGCAUGGAGGGACGCCGCCGCCUCUUCAGUCGCGCCAUCACCGCCAUCGACCGCCGUGAAAGCAGCCACUCCGGCCUUGCCUCCGAUCUGCCGAACGGCGUCCCUGCCGGCGUCGUCUACAUCUCCUCGUCCGAGGAAGAAGGAGGCACGUCGGCGACCACUUUGUGA
rnacentral:rRNA from 1 species